ACAGCGUUUGUCACAGAUGAUUCCACAAAAAAAGUGUCAAUUAAUAGUGUGGGAGACUUCCCAUCUUUAGGAAAUAACUAUUCAGAACCUCAUCAGUCGAACCCUCAGUGGUUAUCAAAUAAGCCAAAAAAGCAAUCAAAGGUUGCCCCUGCUCCGUGUUACCAAAGUCGCAAUGUCUCACUGAUGCUUCUGCUUUCCCAACAUUGAGCAGAUCUGAUCAAAAGAGUCAAGGCAAUUAUAUGAGCUCGAGCCAAAGUAGUACAAAUGAAUUAAAAAA